GACGAACGCUGGCGGCGUGCUUAACACAUGCAAGUCGAACGGAAAGGCCCUGCUUUUGUGGGGUGCUCGAGUGGCGAACGGGUGAGUAACACGUGAGUAACCUGCCCUUGACUUUGGGAUAACUUCAGGAAACUUGGGCUAAUACCGGAUAGGAGCUCCUGCUGCAUGGUGGGGGUUGGAAAGUUUCGGCGGUUGGGGAUGGACUCGCGGCUUAUCAGCUUGUUGGUGGGGUAGUGGCUUACCAAGGCUUUGACGGGUAGCCGGCCUGAGAGGGUGGCCGGCCACAUUGGGCCUGAGAUACGGCCCAGACUGAUACGGGAGGCAGCAGUGUGGAAUAUUGCACAAUGGGCGGAAGGCUGAUGCAGCAACGCCGCGUGCGGGAUGACGGCCUUCGGGUUGUCAACCGCUUUCGCCUUUGACGAAGCGUGAGUGACGGUAAUGGGUAAAGAAGCACCGGCUAACUACGUG
rnacentral:rRNA from 1 species